rnacentral:rRNA from 1 species
UACGGAGGGUGCAAGCAUUAAUCGGAUUUAUUGGGCGUAAAGGGCGCGUAGGCGGGAGUGUCAGUCAGAUGUGAAAUCCCGGGGCUCAACCUCGGAACAGCAUUUGAAAACUACAUUUUCUAGAGGGAAUAGGCGGAGAAAACGGAAUUCCACAAGUAGCGGUGAAAUGCGUAGAUAUGUGGAAGAACACCGGUGGCGAAGGCGGUUUUCUAGCUUAUUCCU